rnacentral:rRNA from 1 species
AAUCAACGCUGGCGGCGUGCCUCAGACAUGCAAGUCGAACGCGAAAGCCUCCUUCGGGGGGCAAGUAGAGUGGCGCACGGGUGAGUAACACGUAGGUAAUCUACCUUUGGAUUGGGAAUAACCACCGGAAACGGUGGCUAAUACCGAAUAAUGCAGCGGCACCUAAUGGCGACAGUUGUUAAAGCGGGGGAUCGCAAGACCUCGCGUCUGAAGAGGAGCCUGCGGCAGAUUAGCUAGUUGGUAAGGUAACGGCUUACCAAGGCGAUGAUCUGUAGCCGGCCUGAGAGGGCGGUCGGCCACACUGACACUGACAUACGGGUCAGACACCUACGGGAGGCAGCAGUCGGGAAUUUUGGGCAAUGGGCGAAAGCCUGACCCAGCAACGCCGCGUGAAGGAUGAAAUCCUUCGGGAUGUAAACUUCGCAAGAACAGGAAGAAUAAGUAAGAGUUAACAUCUCUUACGAUGACGGUACUGUUUGUAAGCUCCGGCUAACUCCGUGCCAGC